CCCGGGGGUGUCUUCACGCAGGCAAGAGGCUUUUUUUCCACCAGUUUUACAGCCCUGGGACUCAAAACGUUUGCUUUUUUGGCAAAUCGUGUCAUAUUCUGGCUUGAAUUAAAGCCUCGCUGCCCUGAAGCCACCAGCACAGUAGCAAAGACCAGCCUGCUCCUUCCCAAGCUUGCGGAGAGCUUUCCCAGUGGGACUGUGCUGCCGGAGUGAGAGGCACGGCCUUCUCCUUGAGGGAUGCAGCAGUGAGACCCACACUUGCAGACCUUCUUGGUGUCUUGGUGGCUCCAGCGACAGCAGGCAGGCAGCCCUACCCAGGUUUGGAGAGCUUCCUGCAGUGGCAGACACCCAUCUGGCGUCAUUCACAAAGCGUUUUGAGCCACAGAGCGGUUGUCGCUUUGGCGUGCCCUACAGAAUGAGCUUCAGAGAGUCAACUUCAGAAUUCCCACACUAAGGAGCUGCUCGGUGCCUGCAACCCUUUGGUGUGAUCAAACAGCAAAGGAGAAGAUGAAGAAAUCCAAAGAUUAACUAGAGAAGAUAACCAUAGCAAGAGGUCAAAGGCGUUUAAGGAUUCCUUUUGAGAAGCAAAGUGACAUCUAAAGGGAUGAAGGUAAAAGAGACCAUAGAGAAAGUAGGUCAACACUGAAUGUAAGAGAGAUAUGAAGAGGCUCCUAUUGUGGUAUCAAAGUGCUUUUGUAAAUCAGAGUUACGUGAACAGUCAGUCAGAAAGAAUGAUACUAUCAAAGUCACAAUGUUUUUUA